rnacentral:rRNA from 1 species
GGAUGAGGAGUUGACCUAAAAGGUUAUCUUUUUAAUAAAAUCUUUCAAAUUUACUUUUCAGUAAAAAGGCUGAAAUCACCCUCAAAGACAAGAAGACCCUGUAAAACUUUACAUUUUAAAUUACUUCUAAUAAUUUUACAUGUUCUGCUGGGGCGGCCGGGAAAUAAACAUUCCUAAAUUUUCAUAAACUAGCUUAUCAUACCUAGAAUUUCUAAAAUUAAAAUAAGUUACUUCAGGGAUAACAGCGUUAUAUAUUUUGAAAGUCCUUAUUGACAAGUAUGUUUGCGACCUCGAUGUUGGAUUAAGGUAUCUUUUUUCUGCAAAAGGAUAAAAAGAGGGUCUGUUCGACCUUUAAUUCCCUCCA